GACGAACGCUGGCGGCGUGCCUAACACAUGCAAGUCGAGCGAUGAAGCCUUUCGGGGUGGAUUAGCGGCGGACGGGUGAGUAACACGUGGGUAACCUGCCUCAAAGAGGGGAAUAGCCUCCCGAAAGGGAGAUUAAUACCGCAUAAUAUGUUUAGAUCGCAUGAUCUUAACAUCAAAGGAAUUUUCUUCGGAAGAUUCCACUUUGAGAUGGACCCGCGGCGCAUUAGCUAGUUGGUGAGGUAACGGCCCACCAAGGCGACGAUGCGUAGCCGACCUGAGAGGGUGAUCGGCCACAUUGGAACUGAGACACGGUCCAGACUCCUACGGGAGGCAGCAGUGGGGAAUAUUGCGCAAUGGGGGAAACCCUGACGCAGCAACGCCGCGUGAAUGAUGAA
rnacentral:rRNA from 1 species